GACAGAGGUGCCGAGCGUUAGGCGGAAUCACUGGGCUUAAAGCGUGUGUAGGCGGAUGGGUAAGUACCUUGUGAAAUCCCACGGCUCAACCGUGGAACUGCUCGGUAUACUGCUCGUCUUGAGCCAACUAGGGGCGACCGGAACAAACGGUGGAGCGGUGAAAUGCGUAGAUAUCGUUUGGAGCGCCGAUGGUGAAAACAGGUCGCUGGGGUUGUGCUGACGCUGAGACACGAAAGCCAGGGGAGCGAACGGG
rnacentral:rRNA from 1 species